AACGAACGCUGGCGGCAGGCUUAAUACAUGCAAGUCGAACGGUUAAAGCUCCUUCGGGAGUGUAUAAAGUGGCGAACGGGUGAGUAACAGGUGGAUAACCUGCCUCUUGGUAGAGGAUAACGGCUGGAAACGGCCGCUAAUACUGUAUGUGAUUUUUCGCUCAUAGGAGCCGAUUUAAGGAAAGGCGCUUCGGCGCCGCCAAGAGAUGGAUCCGCCCCCCAUUAGCUAGUUGGUAAGGUAACGGCUUACCAAGGCUUCGAUGGGUAGCCGAGCUGAGAGGUUGAUCGGCCACACUGGAACUGAGAUACGGUCCAGACACCUACGGGUGGCAGCAGUAGGGAAUAUUGCGCAAUGGGCGAAAGCCUGACGCAGCCAUGCCGCGUGAGUGAUGAAGGCCUUCGGGUCGUAAAGCUCUUUUCUGAGGGAAGAAAAGUUCAGGGAGGUAAUGCCCUGGACCUGACGGUACCUUAGGAAUAAGGGACGGCUAACUCCGUGCCAGCAGCCGCGGUAAUACGGAGGUCCCAAGCGUUGUUCGGAUUUACUGGGCGUAAAGGGAGCGCAGGCGGAAGGAUUAGUUUGAAGUGGAAUCCCGGGGCUCAACCUCGGAAGUGCUUUGAAUACUGUCCUUCUUGAGUUCGUGAGAGGAAAGCGGAAUUCAGGGUGUAGCGGUGAAAUGCUUAGAUAUCCGGAGGAACACCAAUGGCGAAAGCAGCUCUCUGGCGCAAUACUGACGCUGAGGCUCGAAAGCGUGGGGAGCGAACGGGAUUAGAUACCCCGGUAGUCCACGCCGUAAACGUUGUGUACUAGGUGCAGGAGGUAUCGACCCCUUCUGUGCCGCAGCUAACGCAUUAAGUACACCGCCUGGGGAGUACGCACGCAAGUGUGAAACUCAAAGGAAUUGACGGGGGCCCGCACAAGCGGUGGAGCAUGUGGUUUAAUUCGAGGCAACGCGAAGAACCUUACCCAGGCUUGACAUCCUGUGACCGCCUAUGAAAGUAGGUUUUCUCUUCGGAGACACAGAGACAGGUGUUGCAUGGCUGUCGUCAGCUCGUGUCGUGAGAUGUUGGGUUAAGUCCCGCAACGAGCGCAACCCUUAUCCAUAGUUACCAGCGGUUCGGCCGGGAACUCUAUGGAGACUGCCCGUGAUAAGCGGGAGGAAGGUGGGGACGACGUCAAGUCAUCAUGGCCCUUACGUCUGGGGCUACACACGUGCUACAAUGGCCGGAACAAUGAGCAGCAAAAUCGCGAGGUAGAGCUAAUCUCAAAAAUCCGGUCUCAGUUCGGAUUGGAGUCUGCAACUCGACUCCAUGAAGUUGGAAUCGCUAGUAAUCGCGUAUCAGCAAUGACGCGGUGAAUACGUUCCCGGGCCUUGUACACACCGCCCGUCACAUGACCCGAGUCGGUUGCACCCGAAGUCGCUGACCCAACCCGCAAGGAGGGAGGUGCCGAAGGUGUGCUUGGUAAGGGGGAUG
rnacentral:rRNA from 1 species